rnacentral:tRNA from 1 species
GGAGGGAUGGCCGAGUGGCUGAAGGCAGUGGUUUGCUAAACCGCCAUACGGUUGAAAAGCCGUAUCGAGGGUUCGAAUCCCUCUCCCUCCGCCA